ACUCCCUUAGAGUUUGAUCCUGGCUCAGGACGAACGCUGGCGGCGUGCCUAAUACAUGCAAGUCGAACGAAGCUUUCUUUCACCGAAUGCUUGCAUUCACCGAAAGAGGCUUAGUGGCGAACGGGUGAGUAACACGUAGGCAACCUGCCCAAAAGAGGGGGAUAACACUUGGAAACAGGUGCUAAUACCGCAUAACCAUGAACACCGCAUGAUGUUCAUGUAAAAGACGGCUUUUGCUGUCACUUUUGGAUGGGCCUGCGGCGUAUUAACUUGUUGGUGGGGUAACGGCCUACCAAGGUGAUGAUACGUAGCCGAACUGAGAGGUUGAUCGGCCACAUUGGGACUGAGACACGGCCCAAACUCCUACGGGAGGCAGCAGUAGGGAAUCUUCCACAAUGGACGAAAGUCUGAUGGAGCAACGCCGCGUGAAUGAAGAAGGCCUUCGGGUCGUAAAAUUCUGUUGUCAGAGAAAAACGUGCGUGAGAGUAGCUGUUCACGUAUUGACGGUAUCUGACCAGAAAGCCACGGCUAACUACGUGCCAGCAGCCGCGGUAAUACGUAGGUGGCGAGCGUUGUCCGGAUUUAUUGGGCGUAAAGGGAACGCAGGCGGUCUUUUAAGUCUGAUGUGAAAGCCUUCGGCUUAACCGAAGUAGUGCAUUGGAAACUGGAAGACUUGAGUGCAGAAGAGGAGAGUGGAACUCCAUGUGUAGCGGUGAAAUGCGUAGAUAUAUGGAAGAACACCAGUGGCGAAAGCGGCUCUCUGGUCUGUAACUGACGCUGAGGUUCGAAAGCGUGGGUAGCAAACAGGAUUAGAUACCCUGGUAGUCCACGCCGUAAACGAUGAGUGCUAAGUGUUGGAGGGUUUCCGCCCUUCAGUGCUGCAGCUAACGCAUUAAGCACUCCGCCUGGGGAGUACGGUCGCAAGACUGAAACUCAAAUGAAUUGACGG
rnacentral:rRNA from 1 species